rnacentral:rRNA from 1 species
GGUAAGGUAAUGGCUUACCAAGGCAUACGGGUAGCCGGCCUGAGAGGGUGAUCGGCCACACUGGGACUGAGACACUGCCCAGACUCCUACGGGAGGCUGCAGUCGAGGAUCAUUCGCAAUGCGCGAAAGCGUGACGAUGCGACGCUGCGUGGAGGAUGAAGGCCUUAGGGUCGUAAACUCCUGUCAUGAGGGAAAAACGGCCAUAGGGUUAAUAGCCCUAAGGUGUGAUGGUACCUCAAGAGGAAGCCACGGCUAACUCUGUGCCAGCAGCCGCGGUAAUACAGAGGUGGCGAGCGUUGUUCGGAUUUACUGGGCGUAAAGGGUGCGUAGGUGGCAAUGUAUGUCGGAUGUGAAAUCUCGAGGCUCAACUUCGAAAUUGCAUCCGAAACUGCAUAGCUUGAGUACAGGAUGGGAGAGCGGAAUUCUUGGUGUAGCGGUGAAAUGCGUUGAUAUCAAGAAGAACACCGGCGGCGAAGGCGGCUCUCUGGAAUGUUACUGACACUGAGGCACGAAAGCUGGGGGAGCAAACAGGAUUAGAUACCCUGGUAGUCCCAGCCGUAAACGGUGCACACUUGGUGUUGGAGGUAUUGACCCCUCCAGUGCCGGAGCUAACGCGUUAAGUGUGCCGCCUGGGGAGUACGGCCGCAAGGCUAAAACUCAAAGAAAUUGACGGGGGCCCGCACAAGCGGAGGAGCAUGUGGCUUGAUUCGAUGCAACGCGAAGAACCUUACCAGGGCUUGACAUGGGGACCCUUCGGGGGUGGGUGCGAAAGUACCCUUUACCAUCACAGGUGCUGCAUGGCUGUCGUCAGUUCGUGCCGUGAGGUGUUGGGUUAAGUCCCGCAACGAACGCAACCCCUGUGGUUAGUUGCCACCGCCGGUGAUAAGCCGGCGAGCACUCUAGCCAGACUGCCCGUGCAAGCGGGAGGAAGGUGGGGACGACGUCAAGUCAGUAUGGCCCUUACGCCCUGGGCUGCACACGUGCUACAAUGGCCGGUACAGAGGGACGCAAUACCGCGAGGUGGAGCAAAUCCAGAAAACCGGCCCCAGUUCGGAUUGGAGUCUGCAACUCGACUCCAUGAAGUUGGAUUCGCUAGUAACGGCGUAUCAGCUACGACGCCGUGAAUACGUUCCCGGGCCUUGUACACACCGCCCGUCACAUCAUGAAAGCCGUCUGCACCCGAAGUCACUGAUCUAAUCCCCUUGUGGGAAGGAAGGUGCCGAAGGUGUGGGUGGUGAUUGGGAUGAAGUCGUAACAAGGUA